UGGGGAAUAUUGGGCAAUGGGGGCAACCCUGACCCAGCAACGCCGCGUGAAGGAAGAAGGCUUUCGGGUUGUAAACUUCUUUGACCAGGGACGAAACAAAUGACGGUACCUGGAAAACAAGCCACGGCUAACUACGUGCCAGCAGCCGCGGUAAUACGUAGGUGGCGAGCGUUGUCCGGAUUUACUGGGUGUAAAGGGCGCGUAGGCGGGAUGGCAAGUCAGAUGUGAAAUCUGAGGGCUUAACCCUCAAACUGCAUUUGAAACUGCUGUUCUUGAGUGAUGGAGAGGCAGGCGGAAUUCCUAGUGUAGCGGUGAAAUGCGUAGAUAUUAGGAGGAACACCAGUGGCGAAGGCGGCCUGCUGGACAUUAACUGACGCUGAGGCGCGAAAGCGUGGGGAGCAAACAGG
rnacentral:rRNA from 2 species